GCGCCUUCCUCGCCGCGGGUCGGGCUCGGAGCCCCCACCCUGGGCCUCUGCGCCCGAGCGAAGCUGGCCCACCGGAAACACGAGGCCGAAUUCCAAACUAUUGUCCCGCCUCGCCUGGGGUCGCGCUCUCUAGAACCGGUGAAGAUUAAUAGAAAACUCAAUUGAAAGUCCUUUCAGAUCCAUAUUUGUGUGGUUCCUGACAUGGACUUCACUGUCUAGUGGGGCAAACAGACAUCAAACAAGUCAUCCUACAGGAAGUCUGACAGGUGCUGAGACAGUACAAAUGAAUCGCUGCUUAGAAGAUCACAGUUUGGAGGGGAAGUGGACAAGUAAAGAGAGAAUUACAUAGGAUGGCAUAGAUGUUAUGAUGAAAAUACGCUCUGUGUGUCAUGAGAGUAAAUGAUAAUGGCCUAAAUUUGUAUUUGCGAUGCUUCUCGUGGAGGAGUAGUGGAGGGAAGC